AAAGAUUUUAACAGGAGGUUAUUCCUAGAAAUGGUUCGUAUUUCACAAGAAGAUCAUUGUAUGAACGCAAGAAAAGACAUACAAAAUUUAAGCAACAUCUAUUCGCUAUUAAUUGAAUGGGAUAAGAAGAAAAGAAGAAGAAGCGCACCGGGUGUUCACAGUGACAGUGUAGCAGUUGAUAGUUUACAAAGGCUAGUGAGUUGUUGAAGUGUAAGAGUGGAACAAGAAAGAAUAAAAGACCUAGAAAAAACAGAAAAAAAAAAAAAAAAUAACUGAAUGAAUAGUAAAUAACGUGAUAACUAAUAAAUGACCCAAAAACUAAUGAAUAACUAAAUGACUUGAAAACUUGUGAUCACGAUUCCCUUUAGAUGAAUAUUGUUUUAACUCUAAUAAUGUUGGAAGUAUAAAUUGUAAGAAAUAUAAUAUAAAAAUAAUAAAAAAAAAAAAAGAAGAAUGUAAUUUGUGAUUCUAUGACUACAAGUAAUGAACGUCAACAUGGCAUGUCAGCAAUUUUUCGACAUAACCAAGAAUCAAAGUUAACUAAUGCAUGAAAGGAUUUUUUCUGUUUAUCUGUACCAUCAUUUAUGUAUGUUUAUCUGGACCAUCAUUUUACAAAAGUUAUCAUUAGUAAAGUUUAUGAUUUGGCACAGGACUCCUGAUUACCAUAGUAAAAGAAUCGAAUCGAAUAACCAUAACGAGAAAACCUCACAUUCUGCUCCUGAGGAAGGAAUGAACACAUUCCGAAAGCUCGAGUAUAAAGAAUAAAGAGUGAUCCAUU